GACGAACGCUGGCGGCGUGCUUAACACAUGCAAGUCGAACGGAAAGGCCCUGCUUUUGUGGGGUGCUCGAGUGGCGAACGGGUGAGUAACACGUGAGUAACCUGCCCUUGACUUUGGGAUAACUUCAGGAAACUGGGGCUAAUACCGGAUAGGAGCUCCUGCUGCAUGGUGGGGGUUGGAAAGUUUCGGCGGUUGGGGAUGGACUCGCGGCUUAUCAGCUUGUUGGUGGGGUAGUGGCUUACCAAGGCUUUGACGGGUAGCCGGCCUGAGAGGGUGACCGGCCACAUUGGGACUGAGAUACGGCCCAGACUCCUACGGGAGGCAGCAGUGGGGAAUAUUGCACAAUGGGCGGAAGCCUGAUGCAGCAACGCCGCGUGCGGGAUGACGGCCCUCGGGUUGUAAACCGCUUUCGCUUGUGACGAAGCGUGAGUGACGGUAAUGGGUAAAGAAGCACCGGCUAACUACGUG
rnacentral:rRNA from 1 species